rnacentral:rRNA from 1 species
GGAUUAGCUAGUUGGUGAGGUAAAGGCUCACCAAGGCGACGAUCCGAACUGGUCUGAGAGGAUGAUCAGUCCCACUGGAACUGAGACACGGUCCAUUCUAAAACGGGAGGCAGCAGUGGGGAAUAUUGGACAAUGGGCGAAAGCCUGAUCCAGCCAUGCCGCGUGUGUGAAGAAGGUCUUCGGAUUGUAAAGCACUUUAAGUUGGGAGGAAGGGCAGUAAGUUAAUACCUUGCUGUUUUGACGUUACCGACAGAAUAAGUACCGGCUAACUCUGUGCCAGCAGCCGCGGUAAUACAGAGGGUGCAAGCGUUAAUCGGAAUUACUGGGCGUAAAGUGCGCGUAGGUGGUUCGUUAACUUGGAUGUGAAAGCCCCGGGCUCAACCUGGGAACUGCAUCCAAAACUGGCGAGCUAGAGUACGGUAGAGGGUGGUGGAAUUUCCUGUGUAGCGGUGAAAUGCGUAGAUAUAGGAAGGAACACCAGUG